GACGAACGCUGGCGGCGUGCUUAACACAUGCAAGUCGAACGGGAAGGCCUCUUUCGGGGGGUACUCGAGUGGCGAACGGGUGAGUAACACGUGAGUAACCUGCCCUUGACUUUGGGAUAACUUCAGGAAACUGGGGCUAAUACCGGAUAGGAGCUCCUGCUGCAUGGUGGGGGUUGGAAAGUUUCGGCGGUUGGGGAUGGACUCGCGGCUUAUCAGCUUGUUGGUGGGGUAGUGGCUUACCAAGGCUUUGACGGGUAGCCGGCCUGAGAGGGUGACCGGCCACAUUGGGACUGAGAUACGGCCCAGACUCCUACGGGAGGCAGCAGUGGGGAAUAUUGCACAAUGGGUGGAAGCCUGAUGCAGCAACGCCGUGUGCGGGAUGACGGCCUUCGGGUUGGAAACCGCUUUCGCUCAUGACGAAGCUUUGUGUGACGGUAGUGGGUAAAGAAGCACCGGCUAACUACGUG
rnacentral:rRNA from 1 species